rnacentral:lncRNA from 1 species
CUCCACAAGUAGCUUGGACCAGAGCUGGUUUAGAUUCAAAGUCCCACUUCCAGAGGUGUUCGGACCACAGAUUGAAACAAUGAACUCCAGCAGAACAUCUUCAUUUUCCCUAUGGGGAAACUGAUGCCCAGGGAACAACAGGAGUUGUAGCUUACCGAGCUCAGUGCCUCACAUGCUUGAGCUAACUUUCCCAAAGCGGGGAUCCCGGCCAUGGAAGAAAGCCUGCCUCAUGACUGGCCACUCUCCCAGAAGCACCAGGCUAUGUGCCCACCAGAGGGAAUCCCAGCAGAUUGAUUCCUGCAAUAACUUCAUGCUCUCUGAAAAAAAAAAGUACCAUACUCAUGUUUCAGUACCUCCAAACUGGCAGUGGGGUUUCCUUUGUGGGGGAGGGGUAAGGAAGGAAACACUGGGAGGAGCCCUUCACUUCAGCUAAACCAGCUCUGAAAACUUGGCCAAGUCUCUCAUUUACUUUGGUAACCAUAUCUGCUUGGAAGUGUUGCUGUAAAGAUCAGAAAGAGAUGAGGUCUACAGGCAACAAUAGAGAGAUGAAAGGGAUUGUUUUUUCUGUGUGGGCCGUACAAUAUCCCACACUCUCAUACCCUUGAGGGGCUUACCAGCUGAAGUGGAGACAGGAGAAGAAGGGAAGCCAAGAAUCUCAGGUGCCUGGCACAGAAUCAAAGGAGCAGUGGGAAUUGUGCAUGCUGCAGGAGGGACCAGGGCUAAAGUGGUGAGGACAGGGACACACUCCAGUGCUGGGUGGAAGAGAACCUGAGGGAUAACAUAGAGGUGGUGAAGGACAGGGCUCCCCACCUGGGGAUCUUGUUAAAAUGAAGAUUCUGGCCAAGAGGACUGGGGAGAAGCCUGAGAUUAUUCAUUUUUAACAAACUUUCUGGGGACGCUGAAGCUGCUGCUCCUGGUAACACCUUUAGUAACA